GGGGGGAGGUGUUGACAGAAUCAGCUGGCGCAGUGACAUUUUCGUGCUCGCCACUGGCGUGUAACGUGCGCUGAAAGCUCGCCGAUUCAAACCUGGUCAGCUUUCAGCGCAAGGCGGAACGCAGCUGGUCUAGUAGUAUUUUGGUAGACCGGCGGCGUAUCGACAUACGUCACCGAUGCCUCACUGGCAGGUUUCCACAGUGUCAGGCACAUUUCAGUGCAAUAAAUAAUCAUCAACAACUAUUAAUCUGAGUCAGCACAUACAUUUAGAUCUAUAUCGAUAUAUUCUGAUCUAUAUCUGAUCUGAUGAGCGCGUUUGGCACGCGUUUGGCACGCGUUUGGGCACACAACCUGACCGAAUCAAUACAGCUGAAACUGCAUCAAAUUAAAUUAAAUAUCUAGUAAAUAAACACACAUGAUGAAGUUAACAAGAUAUGUAAUGUGUCUCUCUCCUUUUCUUUCUUCCUCUUAUUUCUCGCACAGCUCGACCUGGACACGUCUCCGUGUCCUCUGUCCGUCUUCCUGCUGCUGCUGCGGCUGAACAGAUGAUUUGUUUCAGUGCUCAGAUGCGUUAUCUACUUUAAGCCGACAUACGGAAAUUAUAAUAUUCAGUUUUGUGAGCCAAAUUUAUUUUAUAUGCCAACAUCUAUGAAAGAAAGAGCCAGGCCACGGAGCGCGAUGCGUCAUUUACGCACAGAUGGUUCCGAUUUUAAUGCCAUUUUUGGAGUUUAUGUUGUGAUCUGUGUGCUAAACCCACCUUUGUCACGUGAGGUUUGAAUAUGAGCAACUUUAUGUGAGUGUCUUUAUUUGUGGAAAAGGGUGUUUGUCUUACCAGUGGGUCCAGCAUUACGCACACCAAAUCCAUCUGUGCUCAGAUGAGAGAGUGUGGAGGACACUUGUUGAGCAGCUGCCUUCUGUCGCCAUCGUGUGGCAUAACUGUCUUCAGACAUCUCUUGAUCGCUUUGACUACUUCAUGAAAAUAGUAAUACGCCUCGCCUGUGGCGGAUUUAAAGGCAAGGAGAGGAGCUUAUGUGAUUGGUGAAAACAGGUCUCGGCUGUGUUAAACCCACUAUACGCCCUCUCUACUCCCAGUCUACGACUUAUGGUGCUGGGAGGAGCUGAGUUAGGGAGGGGGGAUACUUACGCCGGGCUGCGCGGCUCACCAAAAUACCAAAAUGUGCUUGGGAACGCCUUGUCAGCGCGGCGGAUCUGAUUGACGCUGCGCUUGCGGCACGUCUCCGGCGAGGCACCAAAAUAGAGCCCGAGGGGCUCUAUUUUCGUGCGCGCCGGUGAGGCGGCGGAGGGCGGCGAGCCCCGCGCAGUUGUAUUUUCGUCUGGCGGAGCCCAGCGUAAGGCCAAUUUGGUAUUUUCGUGGCAUGAGCCGCACGGAGGCGAGCCGAGAUCCGCCAAGCUGGGCGUGGUGGUGUGGCAGGGGGAGGUGUCGACAGAAUCAGCAGGCGCAGUGACAUUUUCGUGCUCGCCAACGGCGUGUAAAGUGCGCUGAAAGCUCGCCGAUUCAAACCUGGUCAGCUUUCAGCGCAAGGCGGAACGCAGCUGGUCUGGUAGUAUUUUGGUAGACCGGCGGCGUAUCGACAUACGUCACUGAUGCCUCACCGGCAGGUUUCCACAGUGUCAGGCACAUUUAAGUGCAAUAAAUAAUCAUCAUCAACUAUUAAUCUGAGUCAGGACAUAUAUUUAGAUCUAUAUCGAUAUAUUCUGAUCUAUAUCUGAUCUGAUGAGCGCGUUUGGCACGCGUUUGGGCACACAACCUGACCGAAUCAAUACAGCUGAAACCGCAUCAAAUUAAAUUAAAUAUCUAGUAAAUAAACACACAUGAUGAAG
rnacentral:lncRNA from 1 species